rnacentral:lncRNA from 1 species
GAGCCUAAGACCCAAACAAGGCAGGUUCAAGAAAAGAUAUUUAGAGGUAAUUAACAGCAAGUGUUAAAAGGAGAGGUGUUUAAGGGGCUCUACCUUUCAGGUUGGGCACCUGAGCCAGCUGGGACGGUGGACUGGCAGCUCCCCUUAUGAGGAUCAGAAGCCCAGCAGUGCUGUUGCAGGUAAGUAGCUACACUGCAUUUUUUGAGUGAAAAUUACUAGUUAUCUCUCUAUUUUCUUUUUAAAACACAGCAAGAGGAAGAAUUUGUAGUUUUAUUGCCUUUUACGUAACCUUCCACAGGUAGAGUGGUUGAAAAAUUGAAGAUUUUUUUUUUGUUUGCACAUGUUGUGAGUGGUUCUGAAUUGUACCUUUGAGCGUGGGGUUUUGACUAUAAUGGAAAAUGAGGAGGGUUUGUCCUCUUUGGUGAGACACCCAAGCUUUGUGGCAGGGCGUGCAAACUCAUGGGCUUCUGCAGAGAGCACACAGGAGAGCUGGAAAGCUGAAAAGGAAGGGGAGUUGUUGUAUUCCCUACCCUAUUUUUAGCUAAUACUGUUAUGAUACAAAAUGUUUUCUACAGACGUGAGAGCGGUUUUAGAAACUGUAAAGCACAGAAUUACAAAAUUAUGAGGAAUGGGGAUUAGGGCUCUAAUGAGAGGAUUUUGCUGACUUUUCUGUGGUGUAUCUUGACCUCAAUAUGACAUUUGUCUUCGUUUAUCAUUAAUAUGCAUCUUCUUGGCAACUGAUGAUAAAAAAUUAUGGGUUUUUUUUUUAUGUAACAAAGAAGAAAGUAUUUCUUUUUGCUUAUAGCUACAGGAGCAAGCUUGGUCUUCUCUCCCAUAGCAAUGUGGCUAUCCUGAGAAAGCUCUGUAAGAGCAGGUGCCAUUACUAUUAAUCUCUCCGUGGGUCUGUCAGCAUUACUAGGCAGAAUUCUAGCUUGGAGUUAUUAUUCCCCUCAAAUGUUGUGAUAACAUUUAUUUUGAGAAGAAGUGAGGUAAGAAGUGACCAGCUCAGUCUCACUUCAGCCUGCUCCAAGGUACCCGCGGUCCUGGCUGGAGGAACACGACGUUUUCAGCUCCGUUCUGAUGACAAGGAAGCCUUUUCUCCACUCAGAGGGUGGAAAGGUGCCAAGAGCAGCCCCAUUAUUUGGCAGGCAGGAGGUAACCUUACAGUAAACAGCUGUCAGCUUCACAGUCUGGCUGAAUUUUAAUAGCUCAGAGACUAAAGAGAGUUACGGUUUUGUCUGACCCCACGGGGUCUGGGCUGAAUUACUCUGGGCUGCACUGAGGCUAUCACAUUAGGGUCAGGUGACUUGUCUAUAUAAAUUCCUCAAACGUGCCAUUAAAAUGUCAGUUCUUAACUUAGCUGGAGCUAUAAAGCACUUCAGCACAGUUUAAAUCUCUGAUCUCGUAUAAAACAAUCAAAACAGAAUAAAAAGAAUAUUGUGUGGCUGGAGGCACUGUCACUUUUAGCCACGUGCAGGUGGAUGCCAUUGCUCCUGAUCAUUUUUAGUGAGGCUUAGUCCAGGUAAAAUAAUGUAUUAUUUACUAGCAAACUUAAAACAUUUGGCUUUCUAACUUAAUUCCAGUGUGUCAAUCCCUUUACUCAUUCUUGGAUGUUCAUUAAAAUAUAAGAAGGAUUCCCAGGCACACAAAAUAUGGACAACUACUUAAAAAAAUCACCCUAUUUUAAGAGAAAUACUCAUGGUGAAUAUUAGCACUCCCAGAAUAUUGAUAGAGAUUGGAAAGCAGAAAGCAACUUUUAAAUCAGGCCAGUGGCAAGUGCCAGUCUGAAUCAUAGCCUGGAAAAAGGGGGAAAAAAUCCCCAAGCACACCGUUUGGAGCAGAUUGUGCUGAAGCAAUGAUUUAUGACCAUUUCUUAUGCAUAAAGAAAGAACAGUUAAGUCUGUACUGUGAUGCUGCAGUUAGGCAAGUACCUUCAGUUGCUGCUGUGGAGCAGCACAUGAACUCACCUAUCUGUCAGUGACAGCAGACAAUUAAAGCAGUAAUUUAAUUGGGGAUUGUGGAGCAAAGAGUGCUGGGAAGAAUAUUGAUACCUUAAUAAAGGCUCAAGCUGUGGUAAUGGGUCCUGGUGGUAAUGUGCAGCAUGAUGAACUAGGGUUUUGAUUUGAGGAAAGUUAUACAGAGAUACAAAACGAGUGAAAAAUUACAAGUCACAGGUGAUUGGUUACGUGUGUUGUCAGAAUAAGGCUUGUCUGCCUGCACCUGGCUCAUGAAUACACACCUGCAUCCUUGUGCUGCUUUUCUUACAGUUUGGAACGAGCCUGUGAAUUUUCUAACAGUGCAUCUGCCCACCAAAGCACUGCCUGUCACAUAAGGUGAGGGCAGAUAUACUCUCCUCUUCCUAUGUUUUAAGCUCUAAUCUUUAUAUUAUUCUGAUACUUCUGCUCCAUAGGAGUCAGAAAUCCUCCAGCACUUCUCAAAAAAAAUUAUCCUGCAGUGCUGAUGAGUGCUUCUUCAAAAUGGAUGCUGUUUGGAAGAUAAACUUCAGGAAAAGCCAUUGCAAGUUUUCUUGAUUACCCAUCUUUUAUGUCCCCAGUAGACAAGCACAUACCAAAUUCGUGAGAGAAACAUCAUAUUUCUUUAAUGAAAACAAGGCAGAGAUAUAAAAUUCCUCCUAAUGCCUUAUCAAUAUCAAUUCUCUUUUGAUAUCAAUGCAAGUUCAUUUUCUCAAUACCUCACCAAAGUCAUGGAGCACCUUUGGUACUCCAAGUUUAUUUCCAGAGACUUGGACCUCUUCACUUAGGACUGGAUUUAUUGCCUCUGAAAAAAUGCAGGCAAAACAGGCUUUAUGCAGAAGAAAGUGGCAAAGCAGGAGGAUUGGGAAGUGGUACCCAUGGAAAAUGCAGAGCAGCUCCUCCAUAGCCAGUCCUCAGUCCCCUGGCUGAAAGCAGCAGCUAUUACAGCUGCAUUCCCAUACAUUAAAGCACAGCACUCCUACCUCCAAGAAAUUACUUAGACUUCCUUGUUCCUUUCCCAGCUGUAUCCAAAUUCCUCCCUGUGCUGCCCUGUGUGGAACCAUGAUGAACCUCAGUGUUGUGUGGGGUUUGUUCUGUUAAACUGGGUGUGAUAAAUCACAGUCAAAUCACGACUCUGAACGCUCCAGCAUUAGUUGGAAGCUCAAAUAUUGAGAGCUUAUCUUACUUAUUGCCAUGGCAAUCACCAUUAAAAUUAUUUUUAGCUUACAUUAAAGGUAAAAAAAAAGAGGAAAAAUCAAAAAGCAUUUGAAAUGUGAAGUACAAAGACUUUAAUUUAAAAAAAAAACCCAAUUCUGUGUCCCUUCAGUGAGGGGACCUUUUAUAAGUGAGCCCUGGGUCUGACAAUUUUGGAUUAUUAAAUUUUAUAUUAAGUGUCUUCUUGGGGACAAGGUAAAAAAAAAGGUGAGUGCAGCUAGGCUGGAGAUGCUGCUGGUCAUGGUCUGAUCUUGUUUUUAUGAAACAACUGAUCAUAACCUGAGCAUGAUGCAAUAUCUCUACCUUGGGUAACUCUGGUGGUCCCUUGCUGCCUCCUCCUAUCUCUCAAAUACAGAAUUUAGCAAUAGGUAUUUUAACGCACCAGAGUGCUGUGGUUUAAUUAAUAGUUCUUUUUUAGAGAGCUAUUUGUCAAUGUUUUUGCUGCUAGACAUUUCACUUUCUCAUCCUAAGUUCACAAAAGAAAGAUGGUACCUCUAAAGUAUUACGUAAUAAUUUAAUUUCAAAAUAUAAAAGUAAUUAAAAAACCCCUGCAUUCCUUGUUACAGUGUCUGCGAAAUGUACUGUCUCAAAGGCAUGAUAAAAGAGAACUCUCUUACUAGGGAUGUCAUAGGGGAUGGUGAAUAGAUACAGGUAAUUACGAUUUCAAAUGUCUAAUGACCUUUUCACUAAAGCACAAUGAACUUCUAUCAUGCUCUGUUUCUCUUGGUAGAAUAUGUGAUCUUCAUGCAUACAGAUGCACAAAAAAGUCCUUUAUUUUCUCACAGAGCAGCAUAUUCAAGAAGUUGCAUUGUAGUUACUAUUUCCCCCCAGAUGUUGGAGUGGGAUGUUUGAGAAAUAAAUGCCUUAAGUCUAUAUUACUCAGACCGUGGCCAGAAUUUGCAAUGCCUGGUGUUUCUGCAUCAUCUGUGCUGAAACUCGGUGAGAACUGAUGGAUGCCAGCAUAAACUGUGAGGCAGACAUAGGUGGUAGAGGCAGAUCAACAGGGACAUUUGCACCGAUGCAAUUCUCUGCUCUUUUGAGGAGUCACAAAGCAGUGACAGGUGCAGCAUCUGCCAAAUUGAAUUGUUUGUAGUGUGGCAGCCAGGAAUAUACCUCAGUUUGCUCAACAACAAAAGAUGUUUAAAUUAAAAAAAAAAAGUAGCAUUCAAAAGAAGAUCAAAAAUACCUAAUUACCAUUCAAACAAUAAGCUACAAUACUGAAAUGUUUCAUUAUAAAACGAACAAUAAAACUUCUGUGUUUUGUGUUUAGGGACAACCUGGAAAAUCAAGAGUUCUGAGACAGAAAAAUCAAACAUAUUGAAGGCUUUUGUGCUCCAAUUCUAGGGGAAAUGACAGUGCCUAUUGUUGCUGUCUGUGUUGUGAAGAUGUGAGUCUGAUGAUUAGGAAGCAGCAGUCCCUGCCAAAUAAUAUCAGAGCACUUUUUUAUACAGAAGUAUCAGAACUACUCAGAUGAUUCUGAUCACACCAUUUCUCACUGCUUUCACGUCUGGGCUAAGUGGGAAAUAGAAAGGUAGAAUCAAAAUAUCCUGUCAGAGAAGAGCACUUUUACUUGCUGCUUACAUUAAUCACAAUAUAUGGAGUUUCAACAGCUUGACCAUGACUCAGGUGUGUGGGAGAAUUGGGUAGAAUCACAUAAGAUUACUAAAUGGCUCCUUCAUUCUGGCUGGUGCUAUGCUCAUGCUGGAAUGCACUGCAACACUUUAAUGCUUUUCAUUAAAAAAAGUUCUCUGACUGUCAUAGUUCAGCCUUAGAAGAGAGUGGGGGGAAAAGAACUCAGGAUUUCUCACCUACUCACAGAGAAAUUUUGCUCAUUAGCCUUUGAUUAUUGCAUUGUGCAGUGAGAACAAAAAAGCCUUAACAUAAGCCAAUUUCUUGGCAAAUGUAGAAGUCCAUAAUUUCCUGUUUUAAAUGCAUGAAGCCAAAUUUGAACCAAUUUCAGUAUUUAUAUUGAGAACAGGAAGGCAAAAGGUGUCUUGGCUGAAUGGCUCCACUCUAACCUUCUGUGUUGGAGAGUUAUCUAUAAAGGUGAUGCUUUCUGGACAAAAGGAUUCAUUGAGUUAAUAACCUGAACAGUGAGGUAAAGAGUAAUUUACAGUCAUAGCUAGUGUGGAAGCCCUGUUGUUUCUUUAAUUGUGGUAUUGACUGGUAUUGCACUGCCAUAAAUUGUCCUGCAAGAAUGUAUGUCCACAAGCUUGAAAAUUUAGUCUGCCGUGAUUGAGACAAAAAAAGAACUGGCUUUCAGAACUUCACUGGUCUGUAAAAUAGCUAAAACAUUUUCCAGGAAUGAGAAAGAUGGUGUGAUUUGAUGCACAUUUUUAAAAAGAAUAUUGAAGUUAUACUUCCAUUUAAUUGAGCCAUUAAUCCUGGAAAAUUGGCUCCCACAUGUAACCUGAAACCAUACCAUAUUCUUUUACUUAUUUUCUGAUAUCACCAGCUGAACAUAUAUCACAGAAAAUAAAUCUGCCUUCUUGUUCAAAAUAUGAGCAAUUUCAAGAGAAAACACCAAGUUGAAGAGAAACCUGAAGGAAAAAAAAGAAAAAA